rnacentral:rRNA from 1 species
CCUACGGGUGGCAGCAGUGGGGAAUAUUGGACAAUGGGGGGAACCCUGAUCCAGCCAUGCCGCGUGUGUGAAGAAGGCCCUCGGGUUGUAAAGCACUUUCAGUGAGGAAGAACGCCUGGUGGUUAAUACCCAUCAGGAAAGACAUCACUCACAGAAGAAGCACCGGCUAACUCCGUGCCAGCAGCCGCGGUAAUACGGAGGGUGCGAGCGUUAAUCGGAAUUACUGGGCGUAAAGCGCGCGUAGGUGGCUUGAUAAGCCGGUUGUGAAAGCCCCGGGCUCAACCUGGGAACGGCAUCCGGAACUGUCAAGCUAGAGUGCAGGAGAGGAUGGUAGAAUUCCCGGUGUAGCGGUGAAAUGCGUAGAGAUCGGGAGGAAUACCAGUGGCGAAGGCGGCCUUCUGGACUGACACUGACACUGAGGUGCGAAAGCGUGGGUAGCAAACAGGAUUAGAUACCCCGGUAGUC